rnacentral:tRNA from 1 species
GACAGUGCUUAAGUGUUUGGCUGCUAACCAAAAAGUUGGUGGUUCGAACCCACCAGCUGUUC